GGACUACUGGGGUAUCUAAUCCUGUUUGCUCCCCUAGCUUUCGCGCCUCAGCGUCAGCCAUAGCCCAGAAAACCGUCUUCACCACCGGUGUUCUUCCACAUAUCUACGCAUUUCACCGCUACACGUGGAAUUCCGUUUUCCCUAACUACGCUCGAGACAGGAAGUUUCAAAUGCAGUUCCGCAGUUGAGCCACGGAAUUUCACAUUUGACUUUCCUAUCCGCCUACGCGCCCUUUACGCCCAGUAAUUCCGAUCAAUGCUUGCACCCUCCGUAUUACCGCGGCUGCUGGCAC
rnacentral:rRNA from 1 species